CGGAAGGCCUUUCCUAACCACAGAUCUCCUAAUAGAUGAAAAGACUCAUCAAUUACAAAAAUAUGUCAUCAAUCUGGGACAGGUGCAAAGGCACUCUGUGAAUAUGGAAACAAGCGUCUUCCCCUCCCACAUGGGAGGAAAAUUCAGUUUCAGCUCAGCUAGGAAUUUAGUCUUACUAAAGACGUGGGAGGAAGUUCUUCAGCUGAGCAGCUUUCCCCAACGUGGAAGGGACCAUAGCAAGGACACCUGAGUUCUCCAACAGACGUUCAACGCCAAGGGAUUCACAAUUCUGGGAGGUGAUCUCUGAUGAACAUGCCAUCGACUCCGCUGGCACCUACCACGGGGACAGCCACCUGCAGCUGGAGCGCAUCAACGUGUACUACAACGAGG
rnacentral:lncRNA from 1 species